CAAUAGCGUAUAUUUAAGUUGUUGCAGUUAAAAAGCUCGUAGUCGGAUUUUGGCUGAGAACGAUCGGUCCGCCGUUAGGUGUGCACUGAUUGGUCUCAGCUUCCUGGUGAGGAGGUGUGCUUCACGGCCACUUAGUCACCGUGGUUACUUUGAAAAAAUUAGAGUGUUCAAAGCGGGCUUACGCUUGAACAUAUUAGCAUGGAAUAACACCAUAGGACUCCUGUCCUAUUUCGUUGGUCACGGGACGGGAGUAAUGAUUAAGAGGAACAGUUGGGGGCAUUCGUAUUUCAUUGUCAGAGGUGAAAUUCUUGGAUUUAUGAAAGACGAACUUCUGCGAAAGCAUUUGCCAAGGAUGUUUUCAUUGA
rnacentral:rRNA from 1 species